rnacentral:rRNA from 1 species
UCUUCGAGUCAUUGCUCAGUUACGGCGAGUGAAGCGGCAAAAGCUCAAAUUUGAAAUCUAGCACCUUCGGUGUUCGAGUUGUAAUUUGAAGAUGGUAACCUUGGGUUUGGCUCUUGUCUAUGUUCCUUGGAACAGGACGUCAUAGAGGGUGAGAAUCCCGUCUGAUGAGAUGCCCAUUCCUAUGUAAGGUGCUAUCGAAGAGUCGAGUUGUUUGGGAAUGCAGCUCUAAGUGGGUGGUAAAUUCCAUCUAAAGCUAAAUAUUGGCGAGAGACCGAUAGCGAACAAGUACAGUGAUGGAAAGAUGAAAAGAACUUUGAAAAGAGAGUGAAAAAGUACGUGAAAUUGUUGAAAGGGAAGGGCAUUAGAUCAGACUUGGUGUUUUACGAUUAUCUUCUCUUCUUGAGUUGUGCACUCGUAUUUCACUGGGCCAGCAUCGAUUCGGAUGGCAAGAUAAUGGCAGUUGAAUGUGGCUUCACUUCGGUGGAGUGUUAUAGCUUCUGCUGAUAUUGCCUGUCUGGAUCGAGGGCUGCGUCUUUUGACUAGGAUGCUGGCGUAAUGAUCUAAUGCCGCCCGUCUUGAAUAGGAACCCCAAAGCCGCGUCCCUGAAUCCCUACAGUGUGAUAGAGGGGGGCAGAAUUACAGGUGUAGGGGAGAAAUGCUGAUAGAUUU